UACAGAGGGUGCGAGCGUUAAUCGGAAUUACUGGGCGUAAAGCGUGCGUAGACGGUUAUUUAAGUCGGAUGUGAAAGCCCCGGGCUCAACCUGGGAAUUGCAUUCGAGACUGAAUAGCUAGGGUACGGUAGAGGGAAGUGGAAUUUCCGGUGUAGCGGUGAAAUGCGUAGAUAUCGGAAGGAACAUCAGUGGCGAAAGCGACUUCCUGGGCCAGUACCGACGUUCAGGCACGAAAGCGUGGGGAGCAAACAGG
rnacentral:rRNA from 1 species